rnacentral:rRNA from 1 species
AACGCGAAGAACCUUACCCAGGCUCGAAAUGUAAUGGACGAUAUCAGAGAUGAUAUUUUCCGCAAGGACCGUUAUAUAGGUGCUGCAUGGCUGUCGUCAGCUCGUGCCGUGAGGUGUUUGGUUAAGUCCAGCAACGAGCGCAACCCUUAUCAUUAGUUGCCAGCAUUUAAGGUGGGGACUCUAAUGAGACUGCCCAGGUUAACUGGGAGGAAGGUGAGGAUGACGUCAAGUCCGCAUGGCCUUUAUGUCUGGGGCUACACACGUGCUACAAUGGUCGGUACAGAAGGCAGCAAGACCGCAAGGUGGAGCAAAUCCGAAAAGCCGAUCCCAGUUCAGAUUGUAGUCUGCAACUCGACUACAUGAAGUUGGAAUUGCUAGUAAUGACGUGUCAGCAACAACGUCGUGAAUACGUUCCCGGGCCUUGUA